GAUGAAGAACGUAGCGAAAUGCGAUAAGUAAUGUGAAUUGCAGAAUUCAGUGAAUCAUCGAAUCUUUGAACGCACAUUGCGCCCCUUGGUAUUCCGAGGGGCAUGCCUGUUCGAGCGUCAUAUUAACCACUCCCGCUUGCGGGGUCUUGGGCUUCGCCUCCGGGCGGGCCUUAAAAUCAGUGGCGGUGCCGUCGGGCUCUACGCGUAGUAAAUUUUCUCGCGAUAGGGUCCCGGUGGAUGCUUGCCAACAACCCCCAACUUCUUAAGGUUGACCUCGUAUCAGGUAGGGAUACCCGCUGAACUUAAGCAUAUCAAUAAGCGGAGGA
rnacentral:misc_RNA from 1 species